rnacentral:rRNA from 1 species
CCUACGGGUGGCAGCAGUGGAGAAUAUUGGGCAAUGGAGGAAACUCUGACCCAGCAACGCCGCGUGAAUGAUGAAGGUCUUCGGAUUGUAAAGUUCUUUUCUAAUGGAAGACGAAAGUGACGGUACCUUAGGAAUAAGCCUCGGCUACCUACGUGCCAGCAGCCGCGGUAAUACGUAGGAGGCAAGCGUUAUCCGGAAUGACUGGGCAUAAAGGGUGCGUAGGUGGUUUGAUAAGUUGGUAGCGUAACUCCGAGGCUCAACCUCGGCACUACUACCGAAACUGUCGGCCUUGCGUGCAGGAGGGGCAACGGGAAUUCCUAGUGUAGCGGUGGAAUGCGUAGAGAGUAGGAGGAACACCAGUGGCGAAGGCGGGUUGCUAGACUGUAAAUGACACUGAGGCACGAAAGCGUGGGGAGCAAACAGGAUUAGAUACCCUUGUAGUC